rnacentral:rRNA from 1 species
CUACGUGCCAGCAGCCGCGGUAAUACGUAGGGCGCGAGCGUUGUCCGGAAUUAUUGGGCGUAAAGAGCUUGUAGGCGGUUUGUCGCGUCUGCUGUGAAAGGCCGGAGCUUAACUCCGUGUAUUGCAGUGGGUACGGGCAGACUAGAGUGCAGUAGGGGAGACUGGAAUUCCUGGUGUAGCGGUGGAAUGCGCAGAUAUCAGGAGGAACACCGAUGGCGAAGGCAGGUCUCUGGGCUGUAACUGACGCUGAGAAGCGAAAGCAUGGGGAGCGAACAGGAUUAGAUACCCUGGUAGUCCAUGCCGUAAACGUUGGGCACUAGGUGUGGGGGACAUUCCUCGUUUUCCGCGCCGUAGCUAACGCAUUAAGUGCCCCGCCUGGGGAGUACGGCCGCAAGGCUAAAACUCAAAGGAAUUGACGGGGGCCCGCACAAGCAGCGGAGCAUGUGGUUUAAUUCGAAGCAACGCGAAGAACCUUACCAGGGCUU